rnacentral:rRNA from 1 species
UGGUGGAGUGAUUUGUCUGGUUAAUUCCGUUAACGAACGAGACCACUGCCUGCUAAAUAGCCCAGUGAGUGAAUCUUCACUGACUGCUGGCUUCUUAGAGGGACGUGCAUUCUUUUAGAUGCAGGAGGAUAGUGGCAAUAACA